rnacentral:misc_RNA from 1 species
UACGGAGGGUGCGAGCGUUAUCCGGAAUUACUGGGCGUAAAGCCCGCGCAGGCGGCUUGAUAAGCCGGUUGUGAAAGCCCCGGGCUCAACCUGGGAAUCGCAUCCGGAACUGUCAGGCUAGAGUGCAGCAGAGGAAGGUAGAAUUCCCGGUGUAGCGGUGAAAUGCGUAGAGAUCGGGAGGAAUACCAGUGGCGAAGGCAGCCUUCUGGACUGACACUGACGCUGAGGUGCGAAAGCGUGGGUAGCAAACAGG